rnacentral:rRNA from 1 species
UACGUAGGGGGCGAGCGUUGUCCGGAAUCACUGGGGGUAAAGGGCGCGUAGGUGGCGCCGCAAGUCCAUGGUGAAAGCUCGAUGCUCAACAUCGAGUCGGCCACGGAGACUGCGGGGCUCGAGCACUGUAGGGGCAGAUGGAAUUCCGGGUGUAGCGGUGGAAUGCGUAGAGAUCCGGAAGAACACCGGUGGCGAAGGCGGUCUGCUGGGCAGUUGCUGACACUGAGGCGCGACAGCGUGGGGAGCAAACAGG